UGGAACAAAAGGUGGUUGAUGGGUAGGGGAAGGGGUUUUUGGAGGGUUUGGAGUGUAGGGAGGUUGAGAAAUAGGAGAGGGAGUGUUUGGAGGGGUUGGGACAUAAGGUUGGUUGCCAGGGGAAGGUGUUUUUGGAGGAGUGGGAACAUUUGGAGGACUAUAAGAAGGAGACGGUGUUUUUGGAGGCGUUGGAAUAUAGGGUGGUUGGUUACGAGGAGAAGGAGCAUUUGGAGGACUAUAAGCUGGAGAAGGUGUUUUUGGAGGAGUGGGAACAUUUGGAGGACUAUAAGAAGGAGAAGGUGUUUUUGGAGGUGUAGGAACAUAGGGUGGAUGGUUACCCGGGGAAGGAGCUAUUGGGGGGGCGUAAAUAGGAGAAGGUGUUUUGGGAGGUGUUGGAACAUUAGGAGGAGUAUAAACAGGGGAAGGAGUUUGUGGAGGAGUUGGAAUAAAUGGAGGAUGAUUAGUAGGUGAAGGUGCUUUAGGAGGAACAUAGGGAGGACUGUGAAUAGGAGAAGGUGUUUUUGGAGGGGUUGGAACAUAAGGUGGAUAAGGAAUUUUUGGAGGAGUUUGAGGAGGUGUUGGAACAUAAGGUGCUUUUGGAGGAGUAAUUGGAACAUAGGGAGUGUUUGGAGGUGUUGGAGGAUAAUAAGGAGGUGGCUCUCUCACAGCCAACACCACAAUAAUCAAUUUCUGACCCUUUUCACAAUUACCAUCUUUCCCACUAAUGAAGUAAAAUGGACCCGAUCGAUCAAACUGAAACUCCGAUUCACUAUCCUCAAACUUCUUGAUCGGGUUCUUCUUGUUACAUUUCUCAUA
rnacentral:lncRNA from 1 species